rnacentral:rRNA from 1 species
UACGGGAGGCAGCAGUGGGGAAUAUUGCACAAUGGGCGCAAGCCUGAUGCAGCCACGCCGCGUGUAUGAAAAAGGCCUUCGGGUUGUAAAGUACUUUCAGUCGUGAGGAAGGUGUUAAGGUUAAUAACCUUAGCAAUUGACGUUAGCGACAGAAGAAGCACCGGCUAACUCCGUGCCAGCAGCCGCGGUAAUACGGAGGUGCGAGCGUUAAUCGGAAUUACUGGGCGUAAAGGGCACGCAGGCGGUUAACUAAGUUGGAUGUGAAAUCCCCGGGCUUAACCUGGGAAUGGCAUUCAAGACUGGUUAGCUAGAGUCUUGUAGAGGGGGUAGAAUUCCAUGUGUAGCGGUGAAAUGCGUAGAGAUGUGGAGGAUACCGGUGGCGAAGGCGGCCCCUGGACAAGACUGACGCUCAUGUGCGAAAGCGUGGGGAGCAAACAGGGAUUAGAUACC